ACCAAUUCUAGUGGAUUUCAAUGGGUUCCUCUAGGCAUAAUGGCUCGGGCGCUACAUUAAAUUUAUGUGGCUAUCCUGGUCUUUGGCUUGAUUUAUGGGUGCCAUUUGAUCCUGGAAACACCACAUAUAUUC